UACCUCAUAAUGCAGCGGACUCCGCAUGGAUAUGUUGUUAAAGGUUUACCGCCUUGGGAUAGGCUUGCGUCUGAUUAGUUAGUUGGUGUGGUAACGGCACACCAAGGCUACGAUCAGUAACUGGUCUGAGAGGAUGAUCAGUCACACUGGAACUGAGACACGGUCCAGACUCCUACGGGAGGCAGCAGUGAGGAAUAUUGGGCAAUGCUCGAAAGAGUGACCCAGCAACGCCGCGUGGAGGAUGAAGGUAUUCUAUAUCGUAAACUCCUGUGAGAGCAGACGAAAGACAGAUUAUUAAUCUGGAUGACUGUAUGCUCAGAGGAAGUCCCGGCUAACUACGUG
rnacentral:rRNA from 1 species